rnacentral:rRNA from 1 species
AGUGAACGCUGGCGGUAGGCCUAACACAUGCAAGUCGAACGGCAGCACAGUAAGAGCUUGCUCUUACGGGUGGCGAGUGGCGGACGGGUGAGGAAUACAUCGGAAUCUACUUUUUCGUGGGUGAUAACGUAGGGAAACUUACGCUAAUACCGCAUACGACCUACGGGUGAAAGCAGGGGAUCUUCGGACCUUGCGCGAUUGAAUGAGCCGAUGUCGGAUUAGCUAGUUGGCGGGGUAAGGCCCACCAAGGCGACGAUCCGUAGCUGGUCUGAGAGGAUAAUCAGCCACACUGGAACUGAGACACGGUCCAGACUCCUAAGGGAGGCAGCAGUGGGGAAUAUUGGACAAUGGGCGCAAGCCUGAUCCAGCCAUACCGCGUGGGUGAAGAAGGCCUUCGGGUUGUAAAGCCCUUUUGUUGGGAAAGAAAAGCAGCAGGUUAAUACCCCGCUGUUCUGACGGUACCCAAAGAAUAAGCACCGGCUAACUUCGUG